GGGUGGGAAGGCAGCUUGAAGGGAGUGAGGAAGGUGCGUCUUGUGAUGUUGCCCUCCCCAUAGCCAUGCUACUGAUGUUCUUGGGUCUCAGACUGAGAACUUUCACACCGUGGCUGUCCUUCUCAACCGUCACCACUGUAUGAGGUGGUCAUGGGUAUUCCCAUUUCACACAUGGGGAGAGGUGGGCCUCAAAGACAUUUAUUCAUCUUUGGCCCAAGUAGGAAGUAUCAAGUCUAGGGGGUGCUCUCUCAAUACCUGUCAAAUGAAUGGUCUAUAUAGAAUACAAUCUAUGUACAACUUGCUACACCUGUGUGUGAUGCUUCCCUCAACAGUUUUGCUAGUGAGUCGAUUCUCAUGCAGUCUUGGAUCAGCAAUAAGUUCCAAAGCAUGUCACAAUAAUGAAAAACACAAAAAGUGGCUGGACAAGGAAGUGCCAGGGCUUCUAUAUUUACUCCAAACAGAAGAGCUACUUGCCUGAUUAUGGCUGACUGGAAAAUGAGAUUUAAUUGGACAAAGUCCUUGAAGCUCCCGUGUCUAGCAUUCUCAGCAAGGACCUCCCUGCAUGGAGGAGCAUUGGAAAUGAUGUGUGCUCAGUUUCGGUUUGACUGUGAAUACUAUCUGGAUGAAGAUUCCUGCCAAAACAUUUCACUGAAGGAUUUACAAUAGACUUUCCAAGGCUCUAACUGAAGGGUGGCAGCUGAUGUCAGCGUGAAUGUGCUGGCAUUCACCCCUUCAUCUGGCUGAAUAAAAAGUAACCAAUCAUGUUCUUGGGAACCCUGCAUAUUCUUCAUAGUUUAGGGAGCACCGGCCAGCACACCCAUUUGCCUUCCUUUUGGUAACAGCAUCUGGAUUUUACUUCAGGGAGCCAUUGCUCCCUUGCUUUCAAGAGAGAUGUCAAUGCAUAUGGGUAACUACCGACUGGGGCGAAAGAUCUAGUCUGGACCAAUCAGCGCAACACACAAGCUGCAUCUCUGACCUUCCCUCUCUUCUUAUGGGGAUUGAUAGCUGAUGAAUGAAUGGUUUGCCAUCUCUGUUCCAUGAAACAGCAAGCAGAACAGAAGUCUUCUGAGGGAGAAAAGG
rnacentral:lncRNA from 1 species